rnacentral:rRNA from 1 species
CCUACGGGUGGCUGCAGUGGGGAAUCUUGCGCAAUGGGCGAAAGCCUGACGCAGCGACGCCGCGUGCGGGAAGAAGGCCUUAGGGUUGUAAACCGCUUUCAGGAGGGACGAAGCCACUCGGGUGAAUAGCCCAGAGGGUGACGGUACCUCCAGAAGAAGCCCCGGCUAACUACGUGCCAGCAGCCGCGGUACUACGUAGGGGGCAAGCGUUGUCCGGAUUUAUUGGGCGGAGAGCAGGGAGGUGGGUCGUGAAAACUGGAGGCUCAACCUUCAGACGUCGACCGAAACCCCCUGGCUAGAGUCCGGGAGAGGAGAGUGGAAUUCCUGGUGUAGCGGUGGAAUGCGCAGAUAUCAGGAAGAACACCCGUGGCGAAAGCGGCUCUCUGGAACGGUACUGACGCUGAGACGCGAAAGCGUGGGGAGCGAACAGGAUUAGAUACCCUAGUAGUC